rnacentral:rRNA from 1 species
UACGAAGGGGGCUAGCGUUGCUCGGAAUCACUGGGCGUAAAGGGCGCGUAGGCGGCCGAUCAAGUCGGAGGUGAAAGCCCAGGGCUCAACCCUGGAAUGGCCUUCGAUACUGGUUGGCUCGAGACCGGAAGAGGUAAGUGGAACUGCGAGUGUAGAGGUGAAAUUCGUAGAUAUUCGCAAGAACACCAGUGGCGAAGGCGGCCGACUGGUCCGGUUCUGACGCUGAGGCGCGAAAGCGUGGGGAGCAAACAGG